rnacentral:rRNA from 1 species
CACGUAGGGUGCGAGCGUUGUCCGGAAUUAUUGGGCGUAAAGAGCUCGUAGGCGGUGUGUCGCGUCGGCCGUGAAAACCUGCAGCUUAACUGUGGGCUUGCGGUCGAUACGGGCAUCACUGGAGUUCGGCAGGGGGAGACUGGAAUUCCUGGUGUAGCGGUGAAAUGCGCAGAUAUCGGGAGGAACACCUGAGGCGAAGGCGGGUUACUGGGCUGAUGACUGACGCUGAUGCGCGAAAGCCAGGGGAGCAAACGGG